rnacentral:lncRNA from 1 species
UAGAAAUCACCUCGGACACAUGGAGAUGGUGAAGAUGGUGAGUAGAAAGUGGUGAUGAUGAUGAAGAUGACAUGAUGAUAGUGGUUCCAUGGCUUACUUCUUUUUUUCUCUUUUCUUCUUCCUUUCUCCCUUUUUUCCUCUUUUCCUCUUUUCCUCUUCUUCCCUUUCUUUCUUUUCUUUUUGAUAUCUCUCUUUCUCUCUUACCUACUUCUUC